rnacentral:lncRNA from 1 species
GCGCUGCCGCUGGGCUUCGCCCGCAUCUUCUCGCCAAUUGGCCAGUCUUUCUACUUUGAUUUGGCCAUGAGUGUAUUUAAAAUUGAAUUUCGAGCAAAAGAAAAAGUUUUUAUCUUUUUUGGCGGUCAGAAAGGGUUCCCGUAUGGCAGCGAGUGGCGGUGGUCUCCUUCCUGGUGGCCAAGUCUUCUUCUCUAGUGAUGGGUUUUGGAGGCUAGGGUUAGGGUUUGGUUCAAAUGGGAGUUAUUUAUAUCCAUUCACUUUUGAU